rnacentral:rRNA from 1 species
AUUGAACGCUGGCGGCAUGCUUUACACAUGCAAGUCGAACGGCAGCACAGGGAGCUUGCUCCCGGGUGGCGAGUGGCGCACGGGUGAGUAAUACAUCGGAACGUGUCCUGUUGUGGGGGAUAACUGCUCGAAAGGGUGGCUAAUACCGCAUGAGACCUGAGGGUGAAAGCGGGGGAUCGCAAGACCUCGCGCAAUUGGAGCGGCCGAUGCCCGAUUAGCUAGUUGGUGAGGUAACGGCCCACCAAGGCGACGAUCGGUAGCCGGACUGAGAGGUUGAACGGCCACAUUGGGACUGAGACACGGCCCAGACUCCUACGGGAGGCAGCAGUGGGGAAUAUUGCACAAUGGGGGAAACCCUGAUGCAGCGACGCCGCGUGGAGGAAGAGGGUCUUCGGAUUGUAAACUCCUGUUGUUGAGGAAGAUAAUGACGGUACUCAACAAGGAAGUGACGGCUAACUACGUG